GCCGAAGUGGUGGAAUUGGCAGACGCAACGGACUCAAAAUCCGUCGGUAGUGAUACCAUGCGGGUUCGACUCCCGCCUCCGGCACCA
rnacentral:tRNA from 2 species